AGGAAGGGGGUGACUAGUGACAGAGGAAGGAGUGACUAGGGACAGAGUGAGGGAGGUGGUGACUAGUGACAGUCACCACCUCCCUCACUCUGUCACUAGUCACCACCUCCCUCACUCUGUCACCAGUCAUCCCCUCACUCUGUCACUAGUCACCCCUUCCUUUCCU